AGAGUUUGAUCCUGGCUCAGGAUGAACGCUGGCGGCGUGCCUAACACAUGCAAGUCGAGCGAAGCGCUUAUCUUAGAUUUCUUCGGAAUGACGAGAUCUGCGACUGAGCGGCGGACGGGUGAGUAACGCGUGGGUAACCUGCCCUGUACAGGGGGAUAACAGUUAGAAAUGACUGCUAAUACCGCAUAAGCCCACAGCUUCGCAUGAAGCGGUGGGAAAAACUCCGGUGGUACAGGAUGGGCCCGCGUCUGAUUAGCUAGUUGGUGAGGUAAGAGCUCACCAAGGCGACGAUCAGUAGCCGACCUGAGAGGGUGACCGGCCACAUUGGGACUGAGACACGGCCCAAACUCCUACGGGAGGCAGCAGUGGGGAAUAUUGCACAAUGGGGGAAACCCUGAUGCAGCGACGCCGCGUGAGCGAUGAAGUAUUUCGGUAUGUAAAGCUCUAUCAGCAGGGAAGAAAGUGACGGUACCUGACUAAGAAGCCCCGGCUAACUACGUGCCAGCAGCCGCGGU
rnacentral:rRNA from 1 species